UACGUAGGGUGCAAGCGUUGUCCGGAAUUAUUGGGCGUAAAGAGCGUGUAGGCGGCCACUUAAGUCCUGCGUGAAAUCUUGCGGCUCAACCGCAAGCGGUCGUGGGAAACUGGGUGGCUAGAGUGCGGGAGAGGAGAGUGGAAUUCCUGGUGUAGCGGUGGAAUGCGCAGAUAUCAGGAAGAACACCAGUGGCGAAGGCGGCUCACUGGACUGGUACUGACGCUGAGGCGCGAAAGCGUGGGGAGCAAACGGG
rnacentral:rRNA from 1 species